AUAUCAAUAAGCGGAGGAAAAGAAACUAACAAGGAUUCCCUUAGUAGCGGCGAGCGAAGCGGGAAGAGCUCAAAUUUGAAAGCUGGCGUCCUUCGGGCGUCCGCAUUGUAAUCUAUAGAGGCGUUUUCUGUGCUGGACCGUGUCCAAGUCCCUUGGAACAGGGUAUCAAAGAGGGUGACAAUCCCGUACUUGACACGACAACCAGUGCUCUGUGAUACGUCUUCUACGAGUCGAGUUGUUUGGGAAUGCAGCUCAAAAUGGGUGGUGAAUUCCAUCUAAAGCUAAAUAUUGGCGAGAGACCGAUAGCGAACAAGUACCGUGAGGGAAAGAUGGAAAGCACUUUGGAAAGAGAGUUAAACAGUACGUGAAAUUGUUGAAAGGGAAACGUUUGAAGUCAGUCGCGUCGGCCGAGACUCAACCUUGCUUCUGCUCGGUGCACUUCUCGGUUGACGGGUCAGCAUCAAUUUUGACCGCCGGAUAAAGGUCGGGGGAAUGUGGCAUCCUUCGGGAUGUGUUAUAGACCUCGAUUCGGAUACGGCGAUUGGGAUUGAGGAACUCGGCGCUUUGCGUCCAGGAUGCUGGCAUAAUGGCUUUAAGCGA
rnacentral:rRNA from 1 species